GCAGUUUCAUUAUUGAAUUAUGAGAGAAAAUCAGGUUAAUUUGACGUCUUUGAUUCCUCAAUUAGAAAGUAUUUAAGAAACUCAUUACUUAAAACAGAAUUCCCGUUCAUUAAAAUAUAUAAUAAUUUUAAAUGUUCCAGACUCCCUCGUAAUAACUGAAGUGCAAGUACUCCAAUUAAUGCAAACCGAUGACGUCAUUCAUUAAUCGUCAUUGCAACAUUUUUAACUUUAUACACAAUUACAUUAAAUCAACUUCCUUCUGUAUCUUUUUCCUACUGUACAUAACAUUUUUAAUAAAUUUGUGGGAGUGUAUUUAAUCUUCAAGUUCUACUUGAUGUAUUCCGGUUAAUUAGUAUAUUAAUUUAUAAUUAUUAUGUAAAAUAUGCUGCAACAUCAAAGAAUACAAGAGAAAAGGACUAAAACAUAGUUGAAUUAGCUAUUGAGUGUAGUCCUGUUGCUUUUUUUACUCAUUAUUGUUAGUGACGUCAUUGCUGCGAAAUAAAAGCAAAUCUAUGAAGAAAAAAGAAUAAAUGUGUUGGAUUUGGAGGACUUUAGACAACAGCUGUAUCAAUUAUGUUUCUAGUCCUUUGGCUCCAGUGACCCAUAUUCGUAUGUAGUAAUCAAAAUAUAAUUAAGGGGUUUGGGCGUCUUUUUUUCCUCCUUUUUAUGACGUCAUUGACUGAUAAUUGUAGAUAUAAUAAAUUCAUCAUCUUUGUGAAGUUGUAGCUGGAGGUUGUUGACAAUAAUAAAUAAUAAUUAAUUUUUAUUUGAAUUAUGGACAUAUCCGGGGACUUCAAACAUGGUUCCGAGGAGGGUCGAUUAGAGAAUUUCACGGAUUUUACUCGUUAAUGAUCCUAUUCAUGGGUUUUGUUAUACCCCUUAGUCUUGGUAUGAUCAGCUCUGCAGCAAUUGCAUUUGUGUACAAAACCUCAAACUUUAAAAUGGACUAUUCUCAUGCCAUGAUGUGGGGCAUUGGACAAACAUUGAUUCAUGCGGCUUUUGGGGCAACCAGAAUACUUGCAACUCUCUAAUUGGUUUUUAUAUUAAAAUCCCAUCCCUUGUAAUAU
rnacentral:misc_RNA from 1 species